GACGAACGCUGGCGGCGUGCUUAACACAUGCAAGUCGAGCGGUAAGGCCCUUUCGGGAGUACACGAGCGGCGAACGGGUGAGUAACACGUGGGUGACCUGCCUUUAGCUCUGGGAUAAGCCUGGGAAACUGGGUCUAAUACCGGAUAUGACUCCGCGGUGCAUGCUGUGGGGUGGAAAGCCUUGUGCGGCUGGAGAUGGGCCCGCGGCCUAUCAGCUUGUUGGUGGGGUGANGGCCUACCAAGGCGACGACGGGUAGCCGGCCUGAGAGGGCGACCGGCCACACUGGGACUGAGACACGGCCCAGACUCCUACGGGAGGCAGCAGUGGGGAAUCUUGCGCAAUGGGCGAAAGCCUGACGCAGCGACGCCGCGUGAGGGAUGACGGCCUCGGU
rnacentral:rRNA from 1 species